rnacentral:lncRNA from 1 species
UGAGUCUCUCUCAAAAAAGCUUAAAGUCGCAUUUUCCUUUUCUCUCUUUAACUCAUUACAGCGGACAUGAAAGCGGCGCCCCCCAGGGACCCAAAGACCCGGUACCGGUUCUUUGGGUACCUGGUGGCCUACCUUUCCUCAAUCUACGGGCACAGGUCGGGGGUGCUGACCCGGAUGAGGGUCAGGGAGGUGCAGGACGCGAUCGGGGACGAGGACAAGGGCUACCUCAUUAAUGUAAGUAUGCUUUUACUCACCUCGGGUCCUUUUCUACAUUAAAAACAGGGGGGGCGGCUGUUGCACACUUGGGAAUUGGCUGACAUCUCUGCCUCCUGUCAUACUUUGUCUUCUGCAGGUCAUGGAGCACAAGACGGUGCGUAAAUUUGGGGUGGCCCAGGUGUACCUCGAGGCCGGCGAGUACGCCUGGUGCCGGGAGUGGCUCCGCCUGCGGCUGCGCUCCGUGCCACAAAACAAGUUUUUUUUUACGUCCUUCGGCAAGGGGGAGCCGAAGGACCUGAUUAAAUAUUUUCGACGAGCUUGGGGGGAGAUGGGCCUCCCCGGCUCCCCGAGUCUAAUGGACAUCAGGUCGGCCGUGGCCACAUACAACUUUGAGACCAACGACGCCGAGGUACGCAGGAGCCUAGGGGACUUCAUGUGCCACGACAUCAGGACCCAGGAGCGCUUCUACGCGCUCCAUAAGAACCUUUCAAGGGCGAAGCAGAUGAGGGACCUCUUCGUCCGCCUUGCGCAGCGAGAGCCCUCAUCUGCUUCCUCCUCCUCCGAUCCUGCUGCAGGCUCCUCCUCCUCCUCCGCUCCUGCUGCAGGCUCCUCCUCCUCCGCUCCUCACGCAGGCUGCUCCUCCUCCUCCUCUGCUCCUGCUGCAGGCUGCUCCUCCUCCUCCUCUGCUCCUGCUGCAGGCUCCUCCUCCUCCCCCGCUGCUCCUGGCUCCGUGAGGAGGAGGCUUCGGCCAUCUGCCACGCAGAGGAUGGCCCAGAGGGUGAAGGAGAAAAGGGGGAUUUCUCCAAAAAAGAGUUGCCGCGUGUUCAUCAAGAGACUGUGAACCCUUCCUGACCCCAGUUCACUUGCCUGUUCACUUGUAUAUACUGUAGUAGUUCAUUUGUUCAUCUUGUUUCAUGUUCAUGUUCAUGUUGUUGUUUCAUUUGUUCAUAUUUAUUUAUGUUCUGUUCUGUU